AAUAAGUUUAAAUUUCUCACCAACUUGGUAAAAUUUCAAGAGGGCAUUUAGUGUAUGCCCUAUUAAUAUAACUCGGAUAUUAAUGGCGAUAAGCGGAUCCCCGAAGGUCUACUCAAUAUUGGCUAUCAAUUUAUCAAUAUACUAUAUUCAGAUAAGAUUUUGUAUUCAUGAACUCUUCGACUUUGUUUAAACCAUAAUUGCCAGCGGAAACUAGGUUUCAGUAAAGGACCAGUGAACAUCGAUCGCGACUCGGGUAGGAAGGAUGUCCAAACUGGCCAAUUACCAAUUUUCUAUCUGACUGCUAUCCCAAAGAAUAAGAGAGAUGAAUUUGAGAGAAUAAAUCUCCAGGCAAAUGCAGAUGUAGAUCGAAUUUGUAAGA